rnacentral:rRNA from 1 species
UGCCAGCCUCCGCGGUACUCCUAAUUGACCUAUCGUAGUUCGGAAUUACUUGUCUUAAAGAGUUCGUAGGUGGUUGAAAAAGUUAGUGGUGAAAUCCCAGAGCUUAACUCUGGAACUGCCAUUAAAACUUUUCAGCUAGAGUAUGAUAGAGGAAAGCAGAAUUUCUAGUGUAGAGGUGAAAUUCGUAGAUAUUAGAAAGAAUACCAAUUGCGAAGGCAGCUUUCUGGAUCAUUACUGACGCUGAGGAACGAAAGCAUGGGUAGCGAAGAGGAUUAGAUA